GGGCCGUUAGCUCAAUGGAUAGAGCACGCGCCUUCUAAGCGCGGAAUGCGAGUCCGAUUCUCGCACGGCCCG
rnacentral:tRNA from 1 species